rnacentral:rRNA from 1 species
UGGGGAAUAUUGGACAAUGGGGGCAACCCUGAUCCAGCAAUGCCGCGUGUGUGAAGAAGGUUUUCGGAUUGUAAAGCACUUUCGACGGGGACGAUGAUGACGGUACCCGUAGAAGAAGCCCCGGCUAACUUCGUGCCAGCAGCCGCGGUAAUACGAAGGGGGCUAGCGUUGCUCGGAAUGACUGGGCGUAAAGGGCGUGUAGGCGGUUUGUACAGUCAGAUGUGAAAUCCCCGGGCUUAACCUGGGAGCUGCAUUUGAUACGUGCAGACUAGAGUGUGAGAGAGGGUUGUGGAAUUCCCAAUGUAGAGGUGAAAUUCGUAGAUAUUGGGAAGAACACCGGUGGCGAAGGCGGCAACCUGGCUCAUAA